rnacentral:rRNA from 1 species
CUAAGGUAGCAUAAUCAUUUGUUAUUUAAUUGGUGACUGGAAUGAAAGGUUAAACUAGCUUAUUAAGUUUGUGAGAUUAAAUAGUAUCUUAAAGUUAAGGUAAAAAUUCUUUAAUUUACUAGGGGACGAUAAGACCCUAGAAGCUUAACAAGCAGAAAUUUUUGUGUUACAAGAUUGUUUGUUUUACUGGGGCGGUAAAAAUAAUUAAGCUAUUUAGUAGUUAUAAGAUCCUUUAAAUAAAGAUAAAAUGGGGAAGUUACUCUAGGGAUAA